rnacentral:rRNA from 1 species
UACGAAGGGUGCAAGCGUUACUCGGAAUUACUGGGCGUAAAGCGUGCGUAGGUGGUUCGUUAAGUCUGAUGUGAAAGCCCUGGGCUCAACCUGGGAACUGCAUUGGAAACUGGCUUACUAGAGUGCGGUAGAGGGGUGUGGAAUUCCCGGUGUAGCAGUGAAAUGCGUAGAUAUCGGGAGGAACAUCUGUGGCGAAGGCGACACCCUGGACCAGCACUGACACUGAGGCACGAAAGCGUGGGGAGCAAACAGG